GUCCGGCAACGAGCGCAACCCACACCCCUAGUUGCCAGCAGUUCGGCUGGGCACUCUAUGGGAACUGCCCGUGAUAAGCGGGAGGAAGGUGUGGAUGACGUCAAGUCUUCAUGGCCCUUACGGGUUGGGCUACACACGUGCUACAAUGGCAAGUAUAGUGGGUUAAUCCCCAAAACUUGUCUCAGUUCGGAUUGGGGUCUGCAACUCGACCCCAUGAAGUCGGAAUCGCUAGUAAUCGCGGAACAGCAUGCCGCGGUGAAUACGUUCCCGGGCCUUGCACACACCGCCCGU
rnacentral:rRNA from 1 species